UAUAAAAGGUGUAAAUUUUUUAUACCAUAUAUUUGUUAAGUUGUUUAGCAAUCACUGUAUAAAUAUUAAAAGAUAAUGUGGUUUUAGAGUUGUCUAGAUUAUUUGGCGUACAUGAAUUCAUGAAAUACUUAAAAUCUGACUUGGUGGUCCGACGAACAAGUGAACGCUCGCUGAGAAACUUCCUAAAGCAUUUGAGGAGGAAAGGGUUAAACAAUGAAAAUAUUUAGUUGUAAGUUAGAUGUUUCAUCAAAUAUCAUUUUAGAUUUGAAAAAAACGUUAUUUUCAUUUAUUUUACUAUCAAAAAAAGU